rnacentral:rRNA from 1 species
ACUCCUACGGGGAGGCAGCAGUAGGGGAAUCUUCCACAAUGGGCGGCAAGCCUGAUGGAGCAACACCGCGUGAGUGAAGAAGGGUUUCGGCUCGUAAAGCUCUGUUGUUAAAGAAGAACACGUAUGAGAGUAACUGUUCAUACGUUGACGGUAUUUAACCAGAAAGUCACGGCUAACUACGUGCCAGCAGCCGCGGUAAUACGUAGGUGGCAAGCGUUAUCCGGAUUUAUUGGGCGUAAAGAGAGUGCAGGCGGUUUUCUAAGUCUGAUGUGAAAGCCUUCGGCUUAACCGGAGAAGUGCAUCGGAAACUGGAUAACUUGAGUGCAGAAGAGGGUAGUGGAACUCCAUGUGUAGCGGUGGAAUGCGUAGAUAUAUGGAAGAACACCGAGUGGCGAAGGCGGCUACCUGGUCUGCAACUGACGCUGAGAACUCGAAAGCGAUGGG